rnacentral:rRNA from 1 species
CAACCUUCCGUACACUCAGGGAUAGCCUUUCGAAAGAAAGAUUAAUACCUGAUGGUAUCUUAAGCACACAUGUAAUUAAGAUUAAAGAUUUAUCGGUGUACGAUGGGGAUGCGUUCCAUUAGGUAGUAGGCGGGGUAACGGCCCACCUAGCCUACGAUGGAUAGGGGUUCUGAGAGGAAGGUCCCCCACAUUGGAACUGAGACACGGUCCAAACUCCUACGGGAGGCAGCAGUGAGGAAUAUUGGUCAAUGGACGAGAGUCUGAAGCAGCCAAGUAGCGUGAAGGAUGAAGGUCCUACGGAUUGUAAACUUCCUUUAUAAGGGAAUAAACCCUCCCACGUGUGGGAGCUUGUAUGUACCUUAUGAAUAAGCAUCGGCUAACUCCGUGCCAGCAGCCGCGGUAAUACGGAGGAUGCGAGCGUUAUCCGGAUUUAUUGGGUUUAAAGGGAGCGCAGACGGGUCGUUAAGUCAGCUGUGAAAGUUUGGGGCUCAACCUUAAAAUUGCAGUUGAUACUGGCGUCCUUGAGUGCGGUUGAGGUGUGCGGAAUUCGUGGUGUAGCGGUGAAAUGCUUAGAUAUCACGAAGAACUCCGAUUG